rnacentral:rRNA from 1 species
CACCUGUGCGAAAGCGGCUCAAUGGACCACAACUGACGGUGAGGCACGAAAGCUAGGGGAGCAAACAGGAUUAGAUACCCUGGUAGUCCUAGCCCUAAACGAUGAUCGCUUGGUGUGACGGGUACCCAAUCCCGCCGUGCCGAAGCUAACGCGUUAAGCGAUCCGCCUGGGGAGUACGGUCGCAAGGCUAAACUCAAAGGAAUUGACGGGGGCCCGCACAAGCGGUGGAGCAUGUGGUUUAAUUCGACGCAACGCGAAGAACCUUACCUGGGCUCGAAAUGUACAGGAAUCCGGUGGAAACAUCGGCGUCUCGCAAGAGACCUGUAUAUAGGUGCUGCAUGGCUGUCGUCAGCUCGUGUCGUGAGAUGUUGGGUUAAGUCCCGCAACGAGCGCAACCCUUAUUACCAGUUGCUACCAUUUAGUUGAGCACUCUGGUGAGACUGCCUCGGAUAACGGGGAGGAAGGCGGGGAUGACGUCAAGUCCUCAUGGCCUUUAUGUCCAGGGCUACACACGUGCUACAAUGGUCGGUACAAACCGUUGCAAACCCGCGAGGGGGAGCUAAUCGGAAAAAGCCGGCCUCAGUUCGGAUUGCAGUCUGCAACUCGACUGCAUGAAGCUGGAAUCGCUAGUAAUCGCGGAUCAGAACGCCGCGGUGAAUACGUUCCCGGGCCUUGUACACACCGCCCGUCACAUCACGAAAGUGGGUCGUACUAGAAGCAGG